CAUUCCGUGACCUUUCUCUGCCUCUCCCUUUCUCUUGCAGGUGCUGCCUUUUUUCAACUCAUUUCCACUGAAGCAGGGAGAGGAUUUUGGUGGUAGCUCCAAAAGGAAGAAGAAGAAGGAAAAAAAAAAAAAAAGAACAGAACAGAACAGAAAGGUGAAAUGGGUUGUGCCUGGCUCCCUGUAUGCCACACGUAGAGACCACUCCCUUUCCCGGAUUGGCUAUUUGCGGGUGGCGUGCGAGGAGCCAAGCAUACCCACCAUUCUUUCCUUCUCUAUUUUUUCUCUUUUUUGUUCUCUGUUUGGCUUUUUUUAAAGCAACAAUCACAUCAUUAGGCAUAUUCUUCUAACGCUGGGCAUGGUUUGAUUGUGGGUCGAUUUCAAUGGAAGGAGGCUUGGAGGAGUGUUAAAGGGGAUGCAGCUUUAUUGGCUUGGAAGGAAAGAGAAAGAUUUGUGGAGGAAUAUUUUCCAACCCAUCCAAUCAACACCACCUUCGUAAAUCCUGGAUUCCAUUCCAUCUCUUUGCACAGAGGCAUCGUGUUUUUUGGAAUUUUUGUUCCCAUUUUACCCUUUGUUCCCAUAUUUAAGGCAAUUAUUUUAUGAUUUAUUUCCAUUGCAAUCAU